rnacentral:rRNA from 1 species
UUCCGGUUGAUCCUGCCGGACCCGACUGCUAUCAGAGUGGGACUAAGCCAUGCGAGUCGACGUAGCAAUGCGUGGCGAACGGCUCAGUAACACGUAGUCAACAUGCCCAGGGGACGUGGAUAACCUCGGGAAACUGAGAAUAAACCACGAUAGGUCACGAUUUCUGGAAUGGAUCAUGGCCUAAAUCUACAUGGCCCCUGGAUUGGACUGCGGCCGAUCAGGCUGUUGGUGAGGUAAUGGCCCACCAAACCUAUAACCGGUACGGGCUCUGAGAGGAGAAGCCCGGAGAUGGGCACUGAGACAAGGGCCCAGGCCCUAUGGGGCGCAGCAGGCGCGAAACCUCUGCAAUAGGCGAAAGCCUGACAGGGUUACUCUGAGUGAUUUCCGCUAAGGGGAUCUUUUGGCACCUCUAAAAAUGGUGCAGAAUAAGGGGUGGGCAAGUCUGGUGUCAGCCGCCGCGGUAAUACCAGCACCCCGAGUGGUCGGGACGAUUAUUGGGCCUAAAGCAUCCGUAGCCGGUUCUGCAAGUCUUCCGUUAAAUCCAGCCGCUCAACGGAUGGGCCGCGGAGGAUACUACAGGACUAGGAGGCGGGAGAGGCAAGCGGUACUCAGUGGGUAGGGGUAAAAUCCUUUGAUCCAUUGAAGACCACCAGUGGCGAAGGCGGCUUGCCAGAACGCGCUCGACGGUGAGGGAUGAAAGCUGGGGGAGCAACCGGAUUAGAUACCCGGGUAGUCCCAG